rnacentral:rRNA from 1 species
GAUGAACGCUGGCGGCGUGCUUAACACAUGCAAGUCGAACGAGAGAUACAGGAGGAAGUUUUCGGAUGGAAUCCGGUAGAUCGAGUGGCGGACGAGUGAGUAACGCGUGGGUAACCUGCCCUAUACACAUGGAUAACAUACUGAAAAGUUUACUAAUACAUGAUAAUGUAUAUUUACGGCAUCGUAGGUAUACCAAAGUGUUAGCGGUAUAGGAUGGACCCGCGUCUGAUUAGCUAGUUGGUGAGAUAACUGCCCACCAAGGCGACGAUCAGUAGCCGACCUGAGAGGGUGAUCGGCCACAUUGGAACUGAGACACGGUCCAA